GAACGUGUUAGCGUGGGUCGUGCUGCACCUCACAUUUUCAGCUCUCGCUGGCUGGCGAAGAGUUGCCAGUCUUGCUAAUCUGCCUUCCUUCCUCGGGGAAGAGAGACGCUGCAGAAGGGCCACAGGCGAUUGUAUCUGAACUGCAGCAGAAAUGGUCCCUUGCCCAUCAUAGCUCCUAAACCGUGCCCAGGACCUGUUUGGAAGAGUACUUAUUGGCCUGGUCCAAAGCUCUGCUGGAGACAAUUUAACUUUACAGAUGAUGGAACAUCAUGGCUGGAAACACUCCUUGGCAUUAUUUAAUUUCCUGGUAUAAUCCAUCCACUAUAGCUCAACAUCUGCAAGCCUCAAGAGCAAGUUGUCACAUCUCAGCCAAGUACAGAGAAGUAAAGGAAUUUUCUAAGAAGCCAGAUAUAAUUUCAUCGCAGUGAAUUGCUACC